rnacentral:rRNA from 1 species
GACGAACGCUGGCGGCGUGCUUAACACAUGCAAGUCGAACGAAGCACCUUGAUUUGAUUCUUCGGAUGAAGAUCUUGGUGACUGAGUGGCGGACGGGUGAGUAACGCGUGGGUAACCUGCCUUGCACUGGGGGAUAACAGCCAGAAAUGGCUGCUAAUACCGCAUAAGCGCACAGUGCUGCAUGGCACAGUGUGAAAAACUCCGGUGGUAUGAGAUGGACCCGCGUCUGAUUAGCUAGUUGGUGGGGUAACGGCCUACCAAGGCGACGAUCAGUAGCCGGCCUGAGAGGGUGGAACGGCCACAUUGGGACUGAGACACGGCCCAA